GAGCGAUCAUAAGGGAGCUGACUGCAAAUCUGCCGUCAUCGACUUCAAGGUUCAACUCGAGCAAUAGUGAGAGAACGUUGCCGCAGGCAACGGCCCGAAGGGUGAGGAGCUUUAGCUCCGAAUAAUCCUUCCCGCUAUAGAA
rnacentral:sRNA from 1 species